UACGAAGGGGCUAGCGUUGCUCGGAAUCACUGGGCGUAAAGGGUGCGUAGGCGGGUCUUUAAGUCAGGGGUGAAAUCCUGGAGCUCAACUCCAGAACUGCCUUUGAUACUGAAGAUCUUGAGUUCGGGAGAGGUGAGUGGAACUGCGAGUGUAGAGGUGAAAUUCGUAGAUAUUCGCAAGAACACCAGUGGCGAAGGCGGAGCUC
rnacentral:rRNA from 1 species